rnacentral:rRNA from 1 species
GAUGAACGCUGGCGGCGUGCCUAAUACAUGCAAGUCGAGCGAACAGAUGAGGAGCUUGCUCCUCUGACGUUAGCGGCGGACGGGUGAGUAACACGUGGAUAACCUACCUAUAAGACUGGGAUAACUUCGGGAAACCGGAGCUAAUACCGGAUAAUAUAUUGAACCGCAUGGUUCAAUAGUGAAAGACGGUUUUGCUGUCACUUAUAGAUGGAUCCGCGCCGCAUUAGCUAGUUGGUAAGGUAACGGCUUACCAAGGCAACGAUGCGUAGCCGACCUGUGAGAGUGAUCGGCCACACUGGAACUGAGACACGGUCCAGACUCCUACGGGAGGCAGCAGUAGGGAAUCUUCCGCAAUGGGCGAAAGCAUGACGGAGCAACGCCGCGUGAGUGAUGAAGGUCUUCGGAUCGUAAAACUCUGUUAUUAGGGAAGAACAAAUGUGUAAGUAACUAUGCACGUCUUGACGGUACCUAAUCAGAAAGCCACGGCUAACUACGUG